UUGCACUAAAAUUUUGGGAACUUUUUGAUAUAGCUUUCCAGCCCACAGAAAACCAGAGGGAGCUGCUCAACAAGAAUCUUCCAUGGCGGCUGCUCCACCGCCGAAAUCUUUUCUAUCUCUAUCCAUCGGAGACGAAAACCGAUGGGAUGCGACGAACGAAGUUGAGGAGGACAAAUGCGCGUUCCUAGUCGUAGCUCUCUGCCCUUGUCUCGAUGAUAUUGUUACUCUUUAGCUUCUAAGCACCAUCGAAAGUGCUUGAA